UACGACUAUAUCACGUUGAAGCAUAGGUUCUUGCACGAUCACCGAAGUUAAGCAACGUCGUGCCUGGUCAGUACCUAGAUAGAUGACUGCUUUGGAAUAUCAGGUGCUGUAA